rnacentral:rRNA from 1 species
AACGUAGGGGACAAGCGUUAUCCGGAUUUACUGGGCGUAAAGCGCCCGUAGGCGGCCUGACAAGUUGGACGUGAAAGCUCCUGGCUUAACUGGGAGAGGCCGUUCAAAAACUGUCAAGCUAGAGUCUGGAAGAGGAGAGCGGAAUUCCCGGUGUAGUGGUGGAAUGCGUAGAGAUCGGGAGGAACACCAGUGGCGAAAGCGGCUCUCUGGUCCGGUACUGACGCUGAGGAGCGAAAGCGUGGGGAGCGAACAGG